AAGCUGACUGAAGCACAGUCCAAACCUAAAACCCUCUUAGAACCAGAGGAGCUAAUAGUGUGAGUCCCAAUCUAAGUCCCAGAGCCCAAGAACAAGAAGCACUGAUGUCUGGGAGCAGGACAAAGCAGAUGUUCCAGCUGAAGCAGAGCAAGCAAAUUCACCCAUCUUUGACCUUUUGAUCUAUCAUGUCCUCAAUGGAUUGAAUGAUGCCCAUUACACUGGGAGGGUUGUUCUCUUUAUUCAAUUCACUGAUGCAAAACUAAUCUCUUCUGCAAACAGUUUCACAGACAUACACAGAAAUAAUGUUUUGCCAGCUACCUGAG
rnacentral:lncRNA from 1 species